AUCUAUUACUAAAUACUACUUUUGGUUCACAUGCUUGUCAUUUUAGAUUCAGAUUUUAUGCAUAUAAAUUCAUAUUAUAGAUCUAUUUGUAAAAGUUUUAAGAUCAAAUCUUAUAUAUAUAUAUUUGUAGAUUAAAUAGUUUAAUCUAAUAUUUUUUCACUGAAAAAUUUUUGAAAUGCAUGCAUGAAACUCCUGCGCAUCCCAAC
rnacentral:lncRNA from 1 species